AGUUCAAGCCGCAAUCCAUGCCACAUCGGCGCGUGUCCGCUCCGCAGCUGGCACCAUCGAUUCCACCGACACGGUUCUCUGAGUCAUCUCGAUCGUGCAGGUUCCAUGUGCUCGUCACACAUACUGCGUGGCGCCUGCCCAGGCCAGGCCAGCGCACGCGGCCGCUGCCCUUCUCGCGAGGGCGCGAGGCGGCCCCCCCGGCCAGAUCGCUUGAGGGAUUCGACCACGUCGUUCCCCCCAGAUCCUUCCGCACGCGAGCCGAGCCAUCGCCAUCUGCGCGCGCGCACGUAGCAGCCCCCGAGCGCCAUCCCGUCGCCCGCACCCUUUUUCCUGUUUUCCUUUAAAUACCCCCAAAACUGAGCAGCAUGAAGUAGAUAACAACGAGAUUGUUGCUAAUGAAAUCCAUUGAUUGAUCACGAGGCACGCGCACGCACGAGCCGGUGCGCCGAAAUGCAACCACUGGAGCGGCUGCAUGAGACGCACACCGCGUGGUACGACGAUCACCCUCGUGCCACGCUGUGUGCGUUCGUAUGCACCUGCUCUAUGCAUGCAACUCUACGUCGAUGGGGUAUGUUACCCACUAGAUCGAGUUUUCAUAACAAGGUACGCACAUACGUAUAUGCGGAUAUUGUAUUAGAUUAUAUAUAUUUUGUCUUUGGUCUUUCGGAGGUUUUGUUUAUAAUUUCCGGACUUCGAAAGGUUUAUCUUGCUUAAUUACGUAGGGCCCACAGAGCCACGCAAAUUGCCGUUAUUAAUGUCGUUAUUCUCGCCGUAACGUUUCGGACGUUUCGUUUCGCGCUUCUGUUCUAGAACCCCGGGAGCUGCUACGGCUCUUCCCCUCUCGCCGCUUCUCCGAAAACCCUAGCUAGCGAGCUGGAGCAUUUUGCUCCUCAGUUUUGUUUUUCGUUGGCCAUGGUCGUCCUGUCGAUGCUUUUGCAGUGGAGCAUAAGGCUUUGGAGAAGCAGCGAAAGGUUACUUCCCGAGGAACCAGAUUUAGGAGGCGGAGCUGUUCUUACAGAAUACAGCGGCAUCCAUUCUUCUCAUGGCGUUGAAUCGAUCCUUUCCCCUUUCUCUCGUUGCUUCAAGGUACCUUCUUUUCUCUUGACACCGUUUUUUUCUGCCCUGUUGGUGUGUUAGACAAUGUUCAUACAUCAUCUAAAUAUAUUUCUCAUCAAUUUUUUCGUCAGAUAAUGUGAUAACUCGUUCAACUCGUAUUCUGAAUGAAAUAGUAAAUCUUUCUUAAGGAUUCAAAUAAAUUUCCUCUUGGUUGCAUGGGGACUCUGAACUUUUAAAGAAUUAGAGAUCUUCUCAAUAAAUUUAGACUUAUCACAGUAUUAGAGACAGUAUUAUAUUGGAAAAUUACUGUGUGCAUCUGUUGUUUCAAAUUGCUUGGAAUUAUGUUUGUGAAAAAGUCAUACAAAUUUUUUUCGUCGACUAAUAAGAGAGGUUAUGGGAUUUAUUUAAUUCUGUGAGGAUAUUUUGCUAGACCAUCCAUCUGAUAAUAUAGAGAAUAUGAUCUUCCAAUCAACAAAGAAGUGAAAAAAGAGAAUUCAUAGCACCUUCUUCUAUCUCAUCUCUACACAUAAUGGAAUGCAAUUGAAUGAUAAGAGCAUUGUGCCUAUUAUUGAUGAUUAUUAUACAGAUUUUUUUUUGAAAUAAAAAAUGAUAUCCAACUGUAAAUUCUGCCAUUUGAGGGUUGUUGUCUGUGGAUUAAAUUGAGUAAGGCCAGGACAUGCAUUUUGGUUUUUUUCCUUGUCUACCACCGUUCUUUUUGUUUUCUUUACCUCUGUUCUUCUUUCCUAAUUGUUUUGUUUUUCAGCUGCUGUUUCAAUCUCCAGUACAGAUAAUAAGUAAUUUUUUUUAUUCUAUCACUAUACUUAUUUUUAGAACUCAAUAAUUGCAUGCUUUCCAAUCUACUUCUGGUAUAAGAUGAUGAGUGUUGCACAUCAGGUUUGUUAAGAGCACAAUGGAUUUGAAACACUCGUAUCAGGUUUGUUUUCCACGCGAUGUGUCGUUAACCAUAUCGGCAUUUUCUUGCACAUAAUGUUAUUUUGCAAGUUGCUAUUUAGGCUUUACUGUAGGUGCAAAAUGCAUCGAUGGGUGUCUGAUCUCUUGUGUAAAGAGGGCCGCUAUGGUAGAGCUCCAUGAUUUAUCCCUUUCACAGAGAGAGUGAGGUCGUCCUAGAGGGGCUAUUGAACUAACAGCUUCACUUUUGCUUCCAAUGGAAGGACAUUGAGAGUUGCCGAACCAUUGUAGAACUCUUGCCGUGCUCUCCCUCAUGCUGGCUUUAUUGCUGUUAGAGCCUGUGGAAUCUAUGAUCUUCUUCUUCAAAUUUGUCGCAGGAGAAACUGAUCCAACUCCGCCAGAACAAUCAUUAGCUCCGUCUCAGUCGUCACUGGAGGACUCUCUGGAGUGUGCUGUACAUUUCACCACAUCGGCGAGCACACUUCGAUCAUAACUCAAAAGAUGAGCGUGAGAAGUGGAAUGAUGGCCAGAGAAGUAGAUGGAGGAGACGGUGAAUGCAACUUGUCUUAGUUUUGAUCGAUGUCGAUCUCGAACUCAAUUUGAUCUAGUUUUGAUGAGAGGAAGAAAUACUGAAAAUUUAGAGAUCUUGGGCUUCUGAAGAAUGAAAUGUAGAAUGAGGAGGUCGAUUAAGUCAACUAUUUGAUUUUUUGGGUCAAAUAAUUCAUUGGUCGCGGUUGUUUAAUUACAA